CUUGGGGCUGAGACAGGGGAGGAUGAAAGAAGGGAACUCAGAGGGCACCAGAGCCAGACAUCUGCCCCUGCUCACAUAACCUCAGGCAUGCAGCAGUCACCAGCUUCUAGAACCAGUGGCAGGGGAGAGGAGACUGGCUUGUUCCAGACAGCUUGCUCCCUGGAAAUCCAUUUACACUGAAUCUCUGAUUCUGGAAUCUCUGAUGGAGGAUUCCGGGAAUCUCAUUUAGAUGGAAAACAGGACAAGGAGGGAAGGAAAGUGAGCAGACCCUGAUUGGAGUGGGGUGUGCUCAGUUGCCAAGCUUCCCACACAGAGGACCUUGCUGGGGAAAGGGCUUGGAAAUUCUAGAGGAUGAAGACAACAGGGAUUUCCUAACACUGGGGGCCUCUAGCCUCCACCAUGACUUCAUGCAAGUAAGAAAAAGCACUCCAUUUGUCAAAUGAAUGCAGCCCACAGCUUAGCCAGAGUGGGGGCUGGAUUUCAAUCCUUCUCACCCCCCUUGAGCUGGGUGCCACCUGAACAACUGUACCAGGCAAGCCUCUAAGGACCAGGAAGCCCUUUCCCGUCUAUUGGGGCCCAAGUAAAUGGACUCACUGGACGAUGUCAUUGAUGGGGAUGUUGAGCAGACGGUCAUCUAGGGUCUUCACCUCUACGGUGCAGCAGGUCAGAGCCUAGGGGACAUGAAGGCCCAAAGUGGGAGUGGUCCCUAUGUCCAUUCUGUUUAGAAGGUACUUUACGAGACUAUCUGACGCCAGGCUCUAAGCUGGACCUCAAGGAGACAAAAGGAUGUUCAAGGACUAACAGAAUUUGAGGAAUCAGCACGCUUUGGACAAUAAUUUUAUAUUUUUAUUUAAAUAAGUAAUUUAAAAUUAUUAUAAAUAAAUGGCUUCUGAGUAGCUCCUACAAUUGGGCUUUACUCAGAGAAACACACAAGAAAAUCAGGAAGGGUACUUCCCUAUGUUCCAGUGUCCAAGAUUCCACAUUCCCAAUGCAGGGUCCUGGGUUUGAUUCUUGCUCAGGGAACUAGAUCCCACAUGCUGCAACUAAGACCCAGCACAGCCAAAUAAGUAAAUAAUUUUUUGAAAAGAAAAUCAGAGCACUGAUGUUAGGACUGGGAUCUCCUUUCAGCUCUGGUGCUCUUGCCCUGGGCAAGUCCCUUCUCUCUCUGGGCCUGUUUCUCACUCUGCAAAAUGAGAAGUCCUGGGUGACCCACUAACUGAGGCACUGUGAGUGCCCCUCAGAAGGGGCAUUAGGGAUCAGCUCAUCUCCCCUGCAGACUGGUCUCCCUUCCAGACCAGGGCUCCCAGGGGCCUCGUUCCUCCUCAGUCUUCCCAUCACACGAACCCAGGUAACUGACCUUAGACAGCUUUCCCAACCCUCACCUGGUCCCCUUCCUUCUCGAAGGUGAUACGUGUGCCCUGCCUCCAACCAGGCUUUACAUCGAUAGUGAGGAUCUUGUCUUUGAUGGUAGAGGAGUACCCAUCCUCGUUCAGCACCUGUAAUGAGAUGAUGGGGAAGGAGGUAGGCUCAGGAUUUCCCAGCUGGCUUUAACACACAUGAAAGAUGCUCCAUGGGAUCUGUGCACAGCUCAGUCCUCCAGCACCGGGGAGAACCUGUCUGAGCCAUCCCAACUCGCAUCCUAUGUUCCACUGGAAUCAAGAACUUAUGAUUCCAGGAUGGCAGGAUAUGUUAUGGGGUUGGGGCCUGAGGUGCCAAGCAUUCCCCGUGAGUUGAUCAAGGUCACAACUCCAGCCCUAGAAAUUACGUGGUCUUAGUGACUAACAGACACACGGCGAACGCGCACUCACUUGCUCUCCCCCGCAGAGGCUCUGACCUGGAGCCUCUGCCAGAUCUCUUAAUCCCAAAGGGAAAAAAACGGAGGGCAACAUGUCUUAGCCUCUCCCAAAGCAUUCCUCUGUCAUCCAUCUAUUUCCCAGUCACAUGCCCAGAUGGGUGCCCUCCCUCCAUGGAAAUCAUGGCUGUGGCUGGCAUCUCCUCUGCUGGGCAGAUGUGUGAGGAGUGUUGCUUGGGUGCCUAGCACAGGGCUGGACCAAGGGACAGGGCCAGGAUGGGGUCUGGGACCUGACGCACUGAGGGUCUUCUUCAACCAAUCCCCUUGGGAAACAUGCCGUGGCCCACCCUCCAUGCCCACACAGCUCCUUCUUACUCCUGAGGCAAACACCCAGAAGAAACCUGCAGGGGACCAUCAGGAAACACCCAGAAGGCAGAAUUCACAGGAGACUCCUCCUGUCCAGAGCCUUCCCACUUCCCUCAGGGAUGGGGCUGAGCUGAGAAGGGAAAGAGUUGGUCCCCGUUAGGAAAGCACACAGAGGGGACUCCUACAGGAGGAAAGAGCCAGACUAAAACCCUCAACUGUCCCUUCCAAACGUCAGAUUCUAGAAUUCUACCUUCCUAGGGCUCCAAAUCUAAGAUUCUAUGCUUCUGUAAGACCAUAGCUGAGGUCUCCACUUAGGAUCAGGGAGGAGGUGACCAGUAGGGUUGGAGGGGAUAGAAGAUGGCUCCUAAGUACUUACCCUUCGGGAGAUCUUAAUUUUCUUGGUGCAGCCAAAAAAUAGGUCCUCCAAGGACAGGUAGAGGUCUCGUUCGAUUGGAGGAUCCUGUUUCUUGACCCCUCGGCCCCGGAGCCCCCCAAAUUUCAAGUCUACCUCGUUUCCUUCUGCAUCAAAAAACUCUGCAGGAGGUGGGGAGAGGUGAGGAGUAAGAGAAAUUACGUCCAGAAACUCAGAUUCAUAGACUGUCCCUCACCUCUUCAGUCCCCAAGUGUAAUACCUAGCCUCCCAUUCCCACCUCACAGAUUGGAGGCCUGCUUGGCCAGGCCAAUGUGCUGCCCUUGUAAUAGGGAAGCACCUUUGUAUUCUAUUCCAAGGUAAUCACUAAAGCGAUAUUGCUUGUAAGCUUAAAUUAUACAUAAAAGCCCAUCUCUGGGAAAAGGAAAUGGC